GGUGAUCUGCCCUGCACUUUGGGAUAAGCUUGGGAAAACUGGGUCUAAUACCGAAUAUGACCACUUCUUUGGAUGUUGUGGUGGAAAAGCUUUUGCGGUGUGGGAUGAGCCUGCGGCCUAUCAGCUUUGUUGGUGGGGUAAUGGCCUACCAAGGCGGCGACGGGUAUCCGGCCUGAGAGGGUGUACGGACACAUUGGGACUGAGAUACGGCCCAGACUCCUACGGGAGGCAGCAGUGGGGAAUAUUGCACAAUGGGCGCAAGCCUGAUGCAGCGACGCCGCGUGGGGGAUGAAGGCCUUCGGGUUGUAAACUCCUUUCGCUAUCGAAGAAGCCACUUGUGGUGACGGUAGGUAGAUAAGAAGCACCGGCUAACUACGUGCCAGCAGCCGCGGUAAUACGUAGGGUGCAAGCGUUGUCCGGAAUUACUGGGCGUAAAGAGCUCGUAGGUGGUUUGUCGCGUCGUCUGUGAAAUCCCGGGGCUUAACUUCGGGCGUGCAGGCGAUACGGGCAUAACUUGAGUGCUGUAGGGGAGACUGGAAUUCCUGGUGUAGCGGUGAAAUGCGCAGAUAUCAGGAGGAACACCGAUGGCGAAGGCAGGUCUCUGGGCAGUAACUGACGCUGAGGAGCGAAAGCAUGGGUAGCGAACAGGAUUAGAUACCCUGGUAGUCCAUGCCGUAAACGGUGGGCGCUAGGUGUAGGGGGCUUCCACGUCUUCUGUGCCGUAGCUAACGCAUUAAGCGCCCCGGCUGGGGAGUACGGCCGCAAGGCUAAAACUCAAAGGAAUUGACGGGGGCCCGCACAAGCGGCGGAGCAUGUGGAUUAAUUCGAUGCAACGCGAAGAACCUUACCUGGGCUUGACAUGUACCGGAUCGGGCUAGAGAUAGUCUUUCCCUUGUGGUCGGUAUACAGGUGGUGCAUGGUUGUCGUCAGCUCGUGUCGUGAGAUGUUGGGUUAAGUCCCGCAACGAGCGCAACCCUUGUCUUAUGUUGCCAGCACGUUAUGGUGGGAACUCAUGAGAGACUGCCGGGGUUAACUCGGAGGAAGGUGGGGGAUGACGUCAAAUCAUCAUGCCCCUUAUGUCCAGGGGCUUCACACAUGCUACAAUGGUCGAUACAAUGGGGCAGCGACAUCGUGAGCUGAAGCGAAUACCUGCAAAGUCGGCCUUA
rnacentral:rRNA from 1 species